rnacentral:rRNA from 1 species
CCUACGGGUGGCAGCAGUGAGGAAUAUUGCUCAAUGGGCGCGAGCCUGAUCCAGCCACGUAGCGUGAAGGAUGCCUGCCCUACGGGUUGUAAACUUCUUUUAUAAAGGAAUAAAGUGAGGCACGUGUGCCUUUUUGUAUGUACUUUAUGAAUAAGGAUCGGCGAACUCCGUGCCAGCAGCCGCGGUAAUACGGAGGAUCCGAGCGUUAUCCGGAUUUAUUGGGUUUAAAGGGGGCGUAGAUGGGUUGUUAAGUCAGUUGUGAAAGUUUGCGGCUCAACCGUAAAAUUGCAAUUGAUACUGGCAGUCUUGAGUGCGGUAGAGGUAGGCGGAAUUCGUGGUGUAGCGGUGAAAUGCUUAGAUAUCACGAAGAACACCGAUUGCGAAGGCAGCUUACUGGACUGCCACUGACAUUGAUGCACGAAAGUGUGGGUAGCAAACAGGAUUAGAUACCCGAGUAGUC